rnacentral:rRNA from 1 species
GACAGAGGAGCCAAGCGUUGUCCGGAUUGACUGGGCGUAAAGCGCACGCAGGCGGCCUGGCGCGUGGGGUGUGAAAGGUAGCGGCUUAACUGCUACACGCCAUCCCAUACGGCCGGGCUCGAGCCAUGCAGAGGUCCACGGAAUUCCGGGUGUAGCGGUGGAAUGCGUAGAGAUCCGGAAGAACACCGGAGGCGAAGGCGGCUUGCUGGGCGUGAUCUGACGCUGAGGCGCGAAAGCGUGGGGAGCGAACAGG